rnacentral:rRNA from 1 species
UACGAAGGGGGCUAGCGUUGCUCGGAAUCACUGGGCGUAAAGGGCGUGUAGGCGGUAAGGAAAGUCAGAUGUGAAAUCCCCAGGCUCAACCUGGGAACUGCAUUUGAAACUCCCUUUCUUGAGUACCGGAGAGGAAAGUGGAAUUCCUGGUGUAGAGGUGAAAUUCGUAGAUAUCAGGAGGAACACCAGUGGCGAAGGCGGCUUUCUGGACGGUAACUGACGCUGAGACGCGAAAGCGUGGGGAGCAAACAGG